rfam:Triticum urartu cultivar G1812 contig589715, whole genome shotgun sequence.
CAACUACUCCCUCUGUCCCAAACUUCUUGUCUUAGAUUUGUCUAGAUACGGAUGUAUCUAAUACUAAAAUGUGACUUGAUACAUCCGUAUCUAGACAAAUCUUACACAAGAAUUUUGGGACGGAAGGAGUACUUU